AGCAGUCGCCGCGGUAAUACGAAGGGUGCAAGCGUUAAUCGGAAUUACUGGGCGUAAAGCGUGCGUAGGCGGUGAGUUAAGUCUGCUGUGAAAUCCCCGGGCUCAACCUGGGAAUGGCAGUGGAUACUGGCUCGCUAGAGUGUGUCAGAGGAUGGUGGAAUUCCCGGUGUAGCGGUGAAAUGCGUAGAGAUCUGGAGGAAUACCGAUGGCGAAGGCAGCCAUCUGGCCUAAUACUGACGCUGAGGUACGAAAGCAUGGGGAGCAAACAGGAUUAGAUACCCGUGUAGUCCCUGUCUCUUAUAC
rnacentral:rRNA from 1 species